AGUGAACGCUGGCGGUAGGCCUAACACAUGCAAGUCGAACGGCAGCACAGUAAGAGCUUGCUCUUACGGGUGGCGAGUGGCGGACGGGUGAGGAAUACAUCGGAAUCUACUUUUUCGUGGGGGAUAACGUAGGGAAACUUACGCUAAUACCGCAUACGACCUACGGGUGAAAGCAGUGGAUCUUCGGACCUUGCGCGAUUGAAUGAGCCGAUGUCGGAUUAGCUAGUUGGCGGGGUAAAGGCCCACCAAGGCGACGAUCCGUAGCUGGUCUGAGAGGAUGAUCAGCCACACUGGAACUGAGACACGGUCCAGACUCCUACGGGAGGCAGCAGUGGGGAAUAUUGGACAAUGGGCGAAAGCCUGAUGCAGCCAUACCGCGUGGGUGAAGAAGGCCUUCGGGUUGUAAAGCCCUUUUGUUGGGAAAGAAAAGAAGCAGGAUAAUACACCGAUGUUCUGACGGUACCCAAAGAAUAAGCAACGGCUAACUUCGUG
rnacentral:rRNA from 1 species